AUUGAACGCUGGCGGCAGGCUUAACACAUGCAAGUCGAGCGGAGAUGAGGUGCUUGCACCUUAUCUUAGCGGCGGACGGGUGAGUAAUGCUUAGGAAUCUGCCUAUUAGUGGGGGACACCAUUCCGAAAGGAAUGCUAAUACCGAAUACGUCCUACGGGAGUACGCAGGGGAUCUUCGGCCCUUGCGCUAAUAGGUGAGCCCAAGUCGGAUUAGCGAGUUGGUGGGGUAAAGGCCUACCAAGGCGACUAUCGGUAGCGGGUCGGAGAGGAGUAUCCGCCACACUGGGACUGAGACCCGGCCCAGACUCCUACGGGAGGCAGCAGUGGGGAAUAUUGGAAAAUGGGGGGAACCCUGAUCCAGCCAUGCCGCGUGUGUGAAGAAGGCCUUAUGGUUGUAAAGCACUUUAAGCGAGGAGGAGGCUACUGAGACUAAUACUCUUGGAUAGUGGACGUUACUCGCAGAAUAAGCACCGGCUAACUCUGUGCCAGCAGCCGCCGUAA
rnacentral:rRNA from 1 species